rnacentral:lncRNA from 13 species
GGUGACUGUAGUUCUGCCCAUUUUUAUGCUUAUAAAAGCUUGAUGCUGAAUGUCUAUAUUUUAAAGUUUUUAUAAGAUCAACUUUGCUUUCAGAUAACCUUCCUUCCACCUCACAAAAACUCACAAGCUGCAACAUUUCUGAUGUCCACUUCCACACAAGCCAACUUCAGGCCUUUUUCAAGUUCUUGGGGUCAGAAUUCUGACAUGGAUCUCACUGGGCUAAAAUCAAGCUGUUGACAUGGCUGCAUUCCUUCUGGAAACUCUAGUGAGAAAUUCAUUUUCUUGCCCUUUUCAGCUUCAAGAGGCCACACGUUUUUCAGAAUUAAUAGAUCAGAUGUGA